rnacentral:rRNA from 1 species
AGUGAACGCUGGCGGUAGGCCUAACACAUGCAAGUCGAACGGCAGCACAGUAAGAGCUUGCUCUUACGGGAGGCGAGUGGCGGACGGGUGAGGAAUACAUCGGAAUCUACUUUUUCGUGGGGGAUAACGUAGGGAAACUUACGCUAAUACCGCAUACGACCUACGGGUGAAAGCAGGGGAUCUUCGGACCUUGCGCGAUUGAAUGAGCCGAUGUCGGAUUCGCUAGUUGGCGGGGUAAAGGCCCACCAAGGCGGCGAUCCGUAGCUGGUGUGAGAGGAUGAUCAGCCACACUGGAACUGAGACACGGUCCAGACUCCUACGGGAGGCAGCAGUGGGGAGUAUUGGACAAUGGGCGGAAGCCUGAUCCAGCCAUACCGCGUGGGUGAAGAAGGCCUUCGGGUUGUAAAGCCCUUUUGUUGGGAAAGAAAAGCAGCAGGUUAAUACCCCGCUGUUCUGACGGUACCCAAAGAAUAAGCACCGGCUAACUUCGUG